GAAACGGCAAAGGAGCCGCAGGAUUUGCAGUGGGUAAAGCAGCAGACAGAAACACAGCCCUGAGGAAGGCCAAGAACCGAGCUAUCCACUACCUGCAUUACAUAGAGCUAUACAACGACAUGACCAGUAAGUGC